rnacentral:rRNA from 1 species
GACGUAGGGCGCGAGCGUUGUCCGGAUUUAUUGGGCGUAAAGAGCUCGUAGGCGGCUUGUCACGUCGGGUGUGAAAGCCCGGGGCUUAACCCCGGGUCUGCAUUCGAUACGGGCUAGCUAGAGUGUGGUAGGGGAGAUCGGAAUUCCUGGUGUAGCGGUGAAAUGCGCAAAUAUCAGGAGGAACACCGGUGGCGAAGGCGGAUCUCUGGGCCAUUACUGACGCUGAGGAGCGAAAGCGUGGGGAGCGAACAGG